AAUACAGACCAAAAUUUAAAGGUAAAAUUGGUAUCUCAAUAAGUGCUGACUGGUUUGAACCAAAUACUACGGAUGAUGAGGUAGCUGCAGAAAGAAUACGGCAAUUUUGGUAUGGUAUGUACAUUCAACCAGUUUUUUCAUCUAAAGGGGAUUAUCCUGAUGUUGUAAAAGAAUAUAUUGCUUAUCAUAGUUCUUUAGAAGGUUAUAAACAAUCGAGGCUUCCACAGUUUACUCC